GAGGAGACCAGGACCAGGAGGAGACCAGGACCAGGAGGAGACCAGGAGGAGCAGGACCAGCAGAGCAGCGUCAUGUCUGUGCGGAGGACCACACCGGGACCAGAGACAACGAACGACCUCCGUGACCCCGUGGAGCGCUGGUGUCCUCAAGCUCAGACCUGCAACGUGGCGAUCUGGAAGCAGCUGCUGCGCCCCCUGCUGGACUCCAGAGUGCUGCACCCAGAGCGCCCCACCUCUCUUCCAAACAGAACUACCAUUGACAGCAGUAUUAACGUGUUGCGUUAUCCAGCUAACGCUAGCAGCGUAUACUGUAAUGGAGAAUGCUAGCAGCGGAAGCCAACUCCAGGCUCCGCCUCUGAUGGAUCCGUGAACGAACGACCUCCGUGACCCCGUGGAGCGCUGGUGUCCUCAAGCUCAGACCUGCAACGUGGCGAUCUGAAGCAGCUGCUGCGCCCCCUGCUGGACUCCAGAGUGCUGCACCCAGAGCGCCCCACCUCUCUUCCAAACAGAACUCUGUAAAGAAAAUCCACGUUUUUAGUUUGAAUCGUUUCAUAAUUGACUCUUUGGAUUUAAAGUGUAAAUAAAAAUACAAAGCUGA